rfam:Anopheles gambiae M scf_1925491386 genomic scaffold, whole genome shotgun sequence.
AUUCUUCUGUGCUCUGCAAUGGGAUAGGAUCCGAAGCCCUUCUGAGGGAUAAUAUAGGCUCUCUUAUUUAACUCCUACUCGGACAAGUCCCUGUUCGUGCAGAGUGGCAACAUGUGUCAUCACAUAUUCAAGCUUGAGUGCACGGACUAGUUCCAACCCCUCGGGAAACAGAGUCGUAAUAAAGGA